AAUGGUCAUUAAUAUUCUUCUCCAAAGGUUCUAUCUGUCAAAAAUGGGGAAAUGUGACCCAGUAUAAAUAGGAUGAGGUAUUUUCAUUGGUACUUGUGGUCUACCCUGGCUUGCUGCUGCUCCCAAGGGGAGACAGAAGUUCUGUUCAACACAGUUGGAAAGUUUCUGGACUCCAAGUGUCAAACCAGGACUCCUCAUUUAAAUUGCACUCUCUCACUUUUGUUUGAACUAAAGCUUGUGUUCAUCUUGAGCCAAUAAAAACUACAAAAAGGAAACAUCU
rnacentral:lncRNA from 1 species